CAUGAAAAUUAGUAGUGGUAGGAAGAGAAAAUUAGACAGAAAUAGUUAAAUAAAGCAAAAUACACCAUGAAUAAGAGGCGAUCAGGUCACAAGAGGAAGGAGAGGAGGUCUUUCGACAGCUGGCAAGGAGAGGGAGGAGCACAAACAGAGGAGACAAGACAGUUGGAGGAUGGAGCCCGUCAGCCGAGGAGUCAGGAUGCGUCACCACAGCAGCGGACAUGGGACUUCAAAUGCACCAACCUGUGGAAGUAAGCUGUGUACUCUGAGACAUCCCACCUGAUGACAGCACAGGUAUGGAAGAGACACCUGGUGAGACACACUCAAUGGAAACAAAAAAAAAAAAAUGAGAUGAAAAGCAAGUCUCCUUGAAGAGCACCACAACACCAUGCCUCUGCAGUCCCAUCACCAAGAACCUCCCUUGACACUGCACCACCACACAUCAGCCCUCCCAUCACCUCUUGGACACCAGUGGCAGGGUUGUGGUGAUGGGACAAGAAAAUGUAUCAUCACCUGUGCUGUCUGUCUGCAUAGCUGUGGUGCAGGUUUACCAGUAGUAUCUAGAGUUUGGACCAGCAGCAUCUAGCCUGCUUAACACCUACCUACCUCCCUGGCUCACCCCACUGGAGGACACAGAACUGGUCUGGAUUCCUGAGCUUGCUUCCCCCUACAUCAGAUGAAUAUAUCAGCAUCCUCCUGCCUGCUUGAGAUUGAUGCCCAGCCCUCCAAAGUGACCCACCCCCCUGUGCCAAGUGGCCCAAAAAACUGUCAACCUCCCCCCCUCUGUGCCAAGGGGCCUUUUCAAAAAACUGUACUGUCAACCCCCCCCCCCUGUGCCAAGUGGCCCAAAAAACUGUACAAUCCCUCCCCUGUGCCAAGUGGCUCAAAAAACUGUAUACCCCCGUCCCCGUCAACCAAGUGGCCCAAAAAAAACUGUACACCCCCGUCCCCGUGUGCCGCCAAGUGGCCCAAAAAACUGUACACCCAUCCCCCUGUGUGCCAAGUGGCCCAAAAAACUGUACACCCCUGUCCCCCUGUGUGCCAAGUGGCCCAAAAAACUGUACACCCCCCCCUCCCCCUGUGCCAAGUGGCCCAAAAAACUGUACAAGUCAAAAAUACUCACUCCAAAGAUGACUCAUGAUUUUGCAGUAGUAGAGAGAAUAUGAAGGAAAAGAAAGUGGUUCCCCCCCCACAAAAUCUUUUAAUAAUAAUUAAUUUAAAUUAAGUAACAUUCUCUCUUACAAUAUCUCCAGACAAAGUAAUAUAUAAAUUCUCUAUUACAAUAUCUCCAGACAAAGUAAUAUAUAAAUUCUCUAUUACAAUAUCUCCAGACAAUAAUCUCUAGCGUAUUUUUUUUUUUUUUUUACUUACUGGGCUGCUUUAGACAGGGGGGCAGGGGGCAUGUUCACCAGCACUGUCUGUCUGCAUAGGUGUGGUGCAUGCAGGUUUGUUUACCAGUCUUCCAAGUUUCCCAGUAAUAAAUCUCUGCCUGCCUGGCCUGUGGUACCCCACAAAAAUUCUAUUAAUAAUAUAAAUAUAAAAAUUCUCUUAUUACAAAACCUCCAGACAGUCCUGAAUCCAUUAAUAAAUUUUUUCCAUUACAAAACCUCUGGAGGAGAGCAGCAGCAACCUUAACCCUCCCCUUUUUCCUCCUCCUCUAGCCUUGACAGAAGAAGGAAAGUGGUGGUGGUGCCUUCCCCCUAGCAGCUCUUCUCAUUCUCUAGGGUUGCAGGUCUUUCUCUCAUUCUCUAGGGUUGCAGGUCUUUCUCUCAUUCUCUAGGGUUGCAGGUCUUUCUCUCAUUCUCUAGGGUUGCAGGUCUUUCUCUCAUUCUCUAGGGUUGCAGGUCUUUCUCUCAUUCUCUAGGGUUGCAGGUCUUUCUCUCAUUCUCUAGGGUUGCAGGUCUUUCUCUCAUUCUCUAGGGUUGCAGGUCUUUCUCUCAUUCUCUAGGGUUGCAGGUCUUUCUCUCAUUCUCUAGGGUUGCAGGUCUUUCUCUCAUUCUCUAGGGUUGCAGGUCUUUCUCUCAUUCUCUAGGGUUGCAGGUCUUUCUCUCAUUCUCUAGGGUUGCAGGUCUUUCUCUCAUUCUCUAGGGUUGCAGGUCUUUCUCUCAUUCUCUAGGGUUGCAGGUCUUUCUCUCAUUCUCUAGGGUUGCAGGUCUUUCUCUCAUUCUCUAGGGUUGCAGGUCUUUCUCUCAUUCUCUAGGGUUGCAGGUCUUUCUCUCAUUCUCUAGGGUUGCAGGUCUUUCUCUCAUUCUCUAGGGUUGCAGGUCUUUCUCUCAUUCUCUAGGGUUGCAGGUCUUUCUCUCAUUCUCUAGGGUUGCAGGUCUUUCUCUCAUUCUCUAGGGUUGCAGGUCUUUCUCUCAUUCUCUAGGGUUGCAGGUCUUUCUCUCAUUCUCUAGGGUUGCAGGUCUUUCUCUCAUUCUCUAGGGUUGCAGGUGGUCUUCUCUCAUUCUAGGGUUGCAGGUCUGGAAAAUGGAAAAUAAGAUGUAUAAUCCUUGUACCUUUAAAGAGAAGUUCUCAAAUAAAUGCUAAAAAAAUUAUAAAUGUAAUAAUAAUAAUUAAUAUACCUAUCACAGUAACAGUUGCUUCAGAAAAAAAAAAAGUAAAAUAAAAACCUGUUAUUGCCUUCUCGAUGUAGUGUCCUCAAACUUGUCACCUCUUCCUGCUUCUUACAUCGUCACCACCACCACCACCACCAGGCAAAUACUGUGUGGAGAGAGUUCUGGACACCAUUUUUUUUUAACCUGGAAAGAGUCAAAACUUCAGAAAAAGUAAAAUAAAAAUUCCUUGUCCACUUGCUCCUCUUGAUGUCUUGUGUCCUCAAACUUGUCACCACCACCACCAGGCAUUUGUGUGGAGAGAGUUCUGAACACCAUUUAAACCUGGAAUGAAUUUGUGGGUUAAAUCAACAGACGUUUAAAAAAAAUAAAUAAAUCGGGUGUAUUUAGCUUUCUAAUAAAUGUAAAUAAUCAUGA